UAGAGCAGCUCAAAUUAAAGUUACACUCCAAGCCGAAAACCCAUCCACCAUCAUCCUCCUCGCCUCGCGUCGUGUUUGCUGCUUGUGACGAUCAAGUUCUCUUCAAUCGCUUUGCCGACGGACACCAUGGCGUGCAUAUGGCUGGACCAAAUCACCUAGCUGACAAAAGGUUGAACAAGUACUCCAUCAUUUUCAAUAACAGGUGUUUUCGCUAUACUGUUUCAGUUAUAUAUCUGUUGCCUGAAAUUUUUGUAGUGACAAUAAUUUAGACAGAACAAAUUAUCCUAGAACAUUAAUACUGCAAACAACUCUGCUAUUAGUGGAGAAAUUCUACACGCUGAUAAAGUGUUAGAUGAAAUGUCAUAAUGGUGCAGAGAGAAAGAAUCUCUUGUGGUUUUUAUUGAUAACGAGGAUGAGAUCACCUUUUCAUUUGUUUCUCAACAAAAUAGGAGGAAGUAUCGAUGCAUAUACUAGAGGUAUUGGUUUGGCGGUUAGAGCUUCAAGCAACAGAUAAAGUUGUCUCUCUUCUCCUAUACUGGAUUCGGCUCUCACAUCAGUACCAUGGAACAAGUUAUCAGCAAAAUCCCUUAUUGGAUUUCAUUUCUAUCCUACCCGACGUUGAGAGCAAGUGAACGCAGAAUGAGGUUGUUCAAGGCGUAGAAUGAGUUGACGGAGCGGCUUAUCAACGAGCACCGAGUGGCCGCCACGGUCGGGAGGGAGUAACGGCUUAAACGAUUAUGUCCAGCUUAGCUAAAUUAACUAGAUUAUCACUUAUAGAAUAAGUUCUCAUUGAGGUGUGCUGCACUUCGGUGGCGAGACGACAGCAGACAUGUAAUUUGUGAGAUUCUUAAAUAACAUGCUUCUAAAACUUUGUUUUGUGAUAUUUGUAUUGUAUAAUUUAAUUUGUAUCGGUUUAUUUCUGUAUUGAUUGUUGCCAAAUUUUUUUGAGAUAUUGGGUUCGAUUAUAUAUGUGGUGUUCAUUUUUAUGUAAUUAUUGUGUAAAAAUAUUUUGUAUUGCCGUUGCAACGCACGGGCAUCUAA